rnacentral:rRNA from 1 species
UACGUAGGGGGCAAGCGUUGUCCGGAUUUAUUGGGCGUAAAGAGCUCGUAGGUGGUUCGGUAAGUCGGAUGUGAAAUCUCCAGGCUCAACCUGGAGGGGUCAUUCGAUACUGCCGUGACUAGAGUUCGGUAGGGGAGUGUGGAAUUCCUGGUGGAGCGGUGAAAUGCGCAGAUAUCAGGAGGAACACCUAUUGCGAAGGCAGCUCGCUGGGACGUAACUGACGCUGAGACGCGAAAGCGUGGGGAGCAAACAGG